rnacentral:rRNA from 1 species
UUCUUUUUGUAUGUGUAAGAGGUAUAACCUGCCCACUGACAAUUUGUUGAAGGGCCGCGGUAAUUUGACCGUGCAAAGGUAGCAUAAUCAUUAGUCUUUUAAUUAAAGGCUGGAAUGAAUGGUUGGACGAAACAUAAACUGUCUUAUUGUUUAUAUUAAAAUUUAAUUAUUAAGUAAGAAAGCUUAAAUUUAUUUAUGGGACGAGAAGACCCUAUAGAGUUUAAUAAUUUAUUUUGUGAUUAUGUUUGUUUACUAUUCUAUAAAAUUAAUUAUUUUGUUGGGGUGAUGGGGAGAUAAAUUGAACUCUUUUUAUUGUUGUAUAUUGAUUUAUAUACUUUUGAUCCAUUUUUUGUGAUUAUAAGACUAAAUUACC